CUAUGCGCCUUGCCAGCCCGCUCAGGUGUGCCAGCGCGCGGUAAUACGGAGGAUGCGAGCGUUAUCCGGAUUUAUUGGGUUUAAAGGGUGCGUAGGUGGUUAAUUAAGUCAGCGGUGAAAGUUUGUGGCUCAACCAUAAAAUUGCCGUUGAAACUGGUUGACUUGAGUAUAUUUGAGGUAGGCGGAAUGCGUGGUGUAGCGGUGAGAUGCAUAGAUAUCACGCAGAACUCCGAUUGCGAAGGCAGCUUACUAAACUAUAACUGACACUGAAGCACGAAAGCGUGGGGAUCAAACAGG
rnacentral:rRNA from 1 species